UACGUAGGGGGCAAGCGUUGUCCGGAAUCAUUGGGCGUAAAGAGCGUGUAGGCGGCUCGGUAAGUCCGCUCUGAAAGCCCGGGGCUCAACCCCGGGAGGCGGGCGGAUACUGUCGAGCUAGAGUCCGGAAGAGGCGAGUGGAAUUCCUGGUGUAGCGGUGAAAUGCGCAGAUAUCAGGAAGAACACCCGUGGCGAAGGCGGCUCUCUGGGACGGUACUGACGCUGAGACGCGAAAGCGUGGGGAGCAAACAGG
rnacentral:rRNA from 1 species